rnacentral:rRNA from 1 species
GACGAACGCUGGCGGCGUGCUUAACACAUGCAAGUCGAACGGAAAGGCCCCUUCGGGGGUACUCGAGUGGCGAACGGGUGAGUAACACGUGGGUGAUCUGCCCCUGACUUUGGGAUAAGCCUGGGAAACUGGGUCUAAUACCGGAUAUGACCAAUGGUUGCAUGACUGUUGGUGGAAAGCCUUGUGCGGUUGGGGAUGGGCCCGCGGCCUAUCAGCUUGUUGGUGGGGUAAUGGCCUACCAAGGCGACGACGGGUAGCCGACCUGAGAGGGUGAUCGGCCACACUGGGACUGAGACACGGCCCAGACUCCUACGGGAGGCAGCAGUGGGGAAUAUUGCACAAUGGGCGCAAGCCUGAUGCAGCGACGCCGCGUGAGGGAUGACGGCCUUCGGGUUGUAAACCUCUUUCACCAGGGACGAAGCUUUUGUGACGGUACCUGGAGAAGAAGCACCGGCCAACUACGUGCCAGCCGCCGCCGUAAAAC